GUGAGCGGAUCAAAGACUAAGAUCGCCGCGUCCUGCGGCAGCGUCUUUGUGACCCCCAUCCUGGGGG
rfam:Bacillus sp. MTM 13 22, whole genome shotgun sequence.